rnacentral:rRNA from 1 species
AGUGAACGCUGGCGGCAGGCCUAACACAUGCAAGUCGAGCGGCAGCGCGUCCGACCACCCUCGGGUGGUCGGAUGGCGGCGAGCGGCGGACGGGUGAGGAAUGCAUCGGAAUCUGCCUCGUUGUGGGGGAUAACGUAGGGAAACUUACGCUAAUACCGCAUACGACCUACGGGUGAAAGUGGGGGACCUUCGGGCCUCACGCGAUGAGAUGAGCCGAUGCCGGAUUAGCUAGUUGGCGGGGUAAAGGCCCACCAAGGCUAUGACGCCUACCUGGUCUGAGAGGAUGAUCAGGCACACUGGAACUGAGACACGGUCCAGACUCCUACGGGAGGCAGCAGUGGGGAAUAUUGCACAAUGGAGGAAACUCUGAUGCAGCAACGCCGCGUGGAGGAUGACGCAUUUCGGUGUGUAAACUCCUUUUAUAAGGGAAGAUAAUGACGGUACCUUAUGAAUAAGCACCGGCUAACUCCGUGCCAGCAGCCGCGGUAAAGUAGU